AUUGAACGCUGGCGGCAGGCCUAACACAUGCAAGUCGAGCGGAUGAGUGGAGCUUGCUCCAUGAUUCAGCGGCGGACGGGUGAGUAAUGCCUAGGAAUCUGCCUGGUAGUGGGGGACAACGUUUCGAAAGGAACGCUAAUACCGCAUACGUCCUACGGGAGAAAGCAGGGGACCUUUGGGCCUUGCGCUAUCAGAUGAGCCUAGGUCGGAUUAGCUAGUAGGUGAGGUAAUGGCUCACCUAGGCGACGAUCCGUAACUGGUCUGAGAGGAUGAUCAGUCACACUGGAACUGAGACACGGUCCAGACUCCUACGGGAGGCAGCAGUGGGGAAUAUUGGACAAUGGGCGAAAGCCUGAUCCAGCCAUGCCGCGUGUGUGAAGAAGGUCUUCGGAUUGUAAAGCACUUUAAGUUGGGAGGAAGGGCAGUAAGUUAAUACCUUGCUGUUUUGACGUUACCAACAGAAUAAGCACCGGCUAACUUCGUGCCAGCCGCCGCAGUAAAAC
rnacentral:rRNA from 1 species